AUACCAUGGUGAGGACACCUUCACAAUUACUUUUUGAACUGCUACCAUACCUCGUAUAAAGAUUCUUUAUCGAAUUGAUGGAAUGUGAUGAUCUCAUUCCGAAGUUU
rfam:Gossypium arboreum cultivar AKA8401 contig_11233_9, whole genome shotgun sequence.